rnacentral:lncRNA from 1 species
GCUCCCUGGGAUGUGUCCCAGCUGCUGCCAGGCAAAGCAGGCUCGGACUCCAAGCACGUCCAGCAAACUGGAAAGGGAGGAGUUUUCUGGGAACACAUUGGAACAUGAAGUCAUUUCAUCACAUCAGGUCUGCACUGUGUGGGAUCAGGCAUGGGAGCUGCAGGAGCGGAAAUUCUGUGUGAUAAAGAGCUGGUGAUGGACCCGCUUCUGCUGCUUGGCCAGGAGAGACUGGAUCUCUAUAAACAGGACCCCUGUCCCCAUCACCCUCCAGGAGAGACUGGGAAUUGCUGUAGGGCUCUGGCUGGAAGCCCCCAUGGCAGGAAGGUGCCUCCUGAGCACAGGGUGAGUUGUCACAUUGCCUGGGACAUUCUCCUGGGGACUCACCUGCUGUCCUGGCCAGGUGCACAGCAGCCUGUGAGGAGCCUGGGGGGAUAUGGGGUGAUCCACACUUCUUGUUCAGGACAAGGGCUUCUGCAAGGGGUGGACACGGCUCCUGGUGGUGGGUAGAGGGGGAUGUUUCCUUUAGAACCUGGGACACUUCCAAAGUUUCUUGUCGGGAUUUGCACCCACAGCAAGCAGCCAUGAAAUGGAGAAGGGGAACAGCACCAGUGCAGAGUUCCCCUGGCAGGAAUCUGCUCUGCUCUGAAAUCUGGCUGCAGGAGAUGGGCCUGGACAGUCACUGCCCUCACCAAGAUAACAAAGCAUGAGAAUGAGCCUGAACACUCCUGGCAGCUGUGAGUUCCCUUCCCCGCAGCACAUGGGGACAUCCCCAAACCCAGCCCCAGUUCCCUCUGCCUCGACCGAUGGAGCCCACCAGGGACACACUGCCCAAGCAUUUUAGCGUCUGUGUUUGCUCUUUCCGUUGCAGAGAGCCAAGGAGUGAAUACAUUGAUGUUGCGAGGGAUGCAGGGAAGGGCCCAUUGCUAGUAAUGUCCAGUCAUCUUGUUGUUAAAAUGUCUGUGAAAUGUUAGUGCUAAUCCAGGAUUUUCCAGAAGAAAAAUAAGUUAUUGAAAAGUGUUGAUUUUAAAAAAAAAUCCAAGAUUGAUUUUACAAUCCCAGGGUUAAAUUGAAUUUGUUGACAUUUUCACAGAAACUGAUUCAACCUUUGUGUUCUAAUUAUCUUAUUGAUUUACUUAUAAAUCAAUAUAAAUUGAAAAUAUAUAACAGUGUAAAUAUACAUGAAGAUAAAUGUCAGCACAAUGUUUUCUGUCUGAACAAACCUUCUAAAUUUUAGAGAACUCAGAAUACAAAGAAUUACCAAAGCCUUGUUUUCUUCACACAGCUUAAGCUUUUACAGAAGAGCAUUUGUCACUAACCAGUUGUAAGUAAGAAGAAUAAUACCCAUUGUGGUGGAUGAGCAUUGACAGGAGGGAGGCACACUGUCUGUUCUGUAACUGAUAAUGAGGAAAAUUUUAGAAAAACCCAUCUAUGUGUAUGACAAACUGAGUUGCAAAAAUGCUUCUAAAUUUUUCUCAAUUUUUGUUUCAGACUUUUUAAAAUUUACCUC